AUUGAACGCUGGCGGCAUGCCUUACACAUGCAAGUCGAACGGCAGCGGGGGAGAAGCUUGCUUUUCCUGCCGGCGAGUGGCGAACGGGUGAGUAAUACAUCGGAACGUGCCCUGUAGUGGGGAAUAACUAGUCGAAAGAUUAGCUAAUACCGCAUACGACCUGAGGGUGAAAGUGGGGGACCGCAAGGCCUCAUGCUAUAGGAGCGGCCGAUGUCUGAUUAGCUAGUUGGUGGGGUAAAGGCCUACCAAGGCGACGAUCAGUAGCUGGUCUGAGAGGACGAUCAGCCACACUGGGAAUGAGACACGGCCCAGACUCCUACGGGAGGCAGCAGUGGGGAAUUUUGGACAAUGGGCGAAAGCCUGAUCCAGCAAUGCCGCGUGUGUGAAGAAGGCCUUCGGGUUGUAAAGCACUUUUGUCCGGAAAGAAAUGGCUCUGGUUAAUACCUGGGGUCGAUGACGGUACCGGAAGAAUAAGGACCGGCUAACUACGUGCCAGCCGCCGCAGUAA
rnacentral:rRNA from 1 species